CUUGACCUUGAUUCCCAUGUGGUAAUUCCUAAGGCCCAGUUUUAAAGAUGGGUUGAUCCCCUCCAGUGGCAGAGAGUAGAAUUUCCAAUUGUUUCUAUUCUGCAUUAUGGAUUAAUUUCUGUAUUCUCUUCCUCAAUGUAUAAGUAAGGUGGCAGUUAUGUAAAAUCAUACACAAUAAAAUCAGGACUAUAAUAACAAGAGGAUAGAAGAAUGAUUUCAUUAUCUGGGAUCCAGUAGGGGACCAACCAGUAAAAGCAUCGUACCAAUGAUGGGCUAAAUCAUUCUGAAUUUGUGUACUCACCUUAAGGAGUUCUCCUUUUAGGAUAUGUGUGGCUACCUGUGUGUGUACUAUAGCAUCAUUAUGUGUAACAAGAUGUUUAAACAUAUUUUGUUUUCCUUUCAUUAAGGAGACAGUAGUCUCAAGAGGUAAAUGGUAAUCUUUAAAAGGCAGAGAGCCUAAUAGGGCCUUAAUAUGUUUGUCUAAAGUGAUUGUGUCACUGAAAUAACAUUGGGUGCCAUUAAGAUCUAACCAGGUAACAUUAGUAAUGACACAUGUACAGCUUGUAAGAAGGCAGUUGUAUUAACACAUGUGGACGGAAUAGGUGUGUGUGUGUCAUUGUUGACUUUUGGUUCUAUGGUAGAGGAUAAAGGACAGUAAUAAGGUGUAAAAAUAUAAGGUAGUGUACAGUUCUCAAUUGCAGUGUUGUUCAUAAUGACUAACAUUUGUCCCCUUUUCCAAUUAAUGGUACCAGUUGUAUAAUCAUUAUUAAAAGUAAUAAGGCCUGUCUGUUUACAUUGAUAUGCAACCUUACUAAUUUUCUUAUAAUAUAUAUCCCAAACCUGUUGAGGUGUUUUUUUCUUACCAUCAGAACUUAUAUUAAAUAAGGUGGCACAGAUGCUAGUGUAAUUAGCAACCUUAACUGUGCACAUUUCUGCAUUAUAAGAUCUAACAAUUUUCUGUGAACCUUCAAACAAACAUAAUGCAUCGGUUUCAUUAGCUGUGGACACAU